AUUGAACGCUGGCGGCAGGCCUAACACAUGCAAGUCGAGCGCGAAAGGCUUUCGGGCUGAGUAGAGCGGCGGACGGGUGAGUAACGCGUAGGAAUCUACCUGGUAGUGGGGGACAACUUGGGGAAACUCAAGCUAAUACCGCAUACGCCCUAUGGGGGAAAGCGGGGGACCUUCGGGCCUCGCGCUAUCAGAUGAGCCUGCGUAGGAUUAGCUAGUUGGGGAGGUAAAGGCUCACCAAGGCGACGGUCCUUAGCUGGUCUGAGAGGAUGAUCAGCCACACUGGGACUGAGACACGGCCCAGACUCCUACGGGAGGCAGCAGUGGGGAAUACUGCGCAAUGGGGGCAACCCUGACGCAGCCAUGCCGCGUGUGUGAAGAAGGCCUUCGGGUUGUAAAGCACUUUAAGUGGGGAAGAAAAGCUGUUGCCUAAUAAGCCACAGCCCUGACAUUACCCACAGAAUAAGCACCGGCUAACUCCGUGCCAGCCGCCGCGGUAACAC
rnacentral:rRNA from 1 species